rfam:Bacillus amyloliquefaciens FZB42, complete genome.
UACAGUAAGUUUUGCUCACUCGAGGGAGUCUUGCUCAUCCCCUAAUGAAAGGGGGUGAUGCUAUGUCAACAUUCCAGGCAUUAAUGCUAAUGCUUGCAUUCGGGUCGUUUAUAAUUGCCCUGUUGACGUAUAUAAAUAAAAAAUAGACCUCCCUUGAGCCUCAGAACCUGAAGGGAUAGGUCUACCUAGAAACCACAUCGAGCAAGCCCUUUGAUGGGCAACUUUUUGUACAGAGCCGGGGUGUUGGUAGCACCCCGG